rfam:Strongyloides papillosus strain LIN genome assembly, scaffold: SPAL_scaffold0000001
GGCGAAAUGGCCGAGUGGUCUAAGGCGUCAGACUCAAGUCUUCAGUAGAUUUAUGCACGUUGUGCAGGACCGCGGGGUUUCUGAUCUCGUUAUCGAGGCGUGGGUUCGAAUCCCACUUUCGUCA